UUACACAUAAACAACAAAGGACAAAAUAACAAAACAUUACAAUAUACAGAUCUCAGUCAAUAGUCAUGUUUGUUAGAGUAGAGCGUGCUUAGCAUUUACCAAAGCAUUGCACUUUAACCAAGUUAAUAGACUGUUAAAGACACUUCUGCUUAUGUCUGCGGUGUUACUGUGUUACAAGUGGAAGCACAAAACAGCCUUCAUGUGCAAUCAUAAAAUAAUGUACAUAAGUAGGGAAAAAAUAAUAAACAUGAACAAAUAGAAUUUCUGUUUCAUUUUAUUUUAUUUUCACUUUAAUCACAAUGCAUUUACACCAAGCAGCCAUCCAUACACAUUUAAGUCUUUUUUUAUAUUUUCGACACAAAAGUAACCACUAACACAGGAAUUGAGCUUCAGACACGAAUGACAAAAAUUAACAUAUCUCUUUACCUCUAACAGGAAUCUGUCAUUUUUGCUUAUUUCUUUUAUGUCUGAAGAUAAAUGUAUGCAAAGAUAGCACAUUAGAACGACACACGGGGAUAUAAGUUCCUCUUCUGUAUUUUUGCUGUCAUUUGAAAGUGAUUUGAACUUUGCUAAGAUGCUCACUGAGAUCAACGGAUUCUAUUUAAAGUUACUGAAUAUACUCUACAGACAGAUGAUGUUUCCUGAAUCAAUUCCUCUCUUUUUGAUUGUUCUUGUGUUGAGUUCCUCAACUGAUUCAACUCAACCUUUAAUAAAAGUUCCUGAAACAGAACAAAAAAAAUCUGAAGGAUCAUGUGUCACCAUCUCCUGUACUUAUGAUCCAGGAUAUGAGGAAAACUUGAAACUUCUUUGGUUUAAGAAUCCAGUAUAUGACAAUGAUUUAAAAAUCUUUAAUGGGACUAUUGUAUAUAGUAACACAGAUGAUCGUCCCCAGUCAGCAGGUUACUCGAGUAGAGUCGAAUACAUCACUGGUAAAACAGAAAACCCCACAAACUCUUGGUUGAAAUGUGAUUUAAAAAUCAAUGAUCUACAGAAGACAGACAGUGGGAAUUACAGCUUUAGAAUCAUUGGCUCAGACACACACAAGUACAGGAGCACAAAUAUGAGUCUCACAG